CCGAGUGAUUCCCGAUAAGGGACUCUUUUGCUUCCCCUAAAAGCGCUUGUGAAUAAGGGGUGGGCAAGUCUGGUGCCAGCAGCCGCGGUAAUA
rnacentral:rRNA from 1 species